rnacentral:rRNA from 1 species
AGGGGAGCCGGAGGGAAACCGAGUCUUAAUUGGGCGUUAAGUUGCAGGGUAUAGACCCGAAACCCGGUGAUCUAGCCAUGGGCAGGUUGAAGGUUGGGUAACACUAACUGGAGGACCGAACCGACUAAUGUUGAAAAAUUAGCGGAUGACCUGUGGCUGGGGGUGAAAGGCCAAUCAAACCGGGAGAUAGCUGGUUCUCCCCGAAAGCUAUUUAGGUAGCGCCUCGUGAAUUCAUCUCCGGGGGUAGAGCACUGUUUCGGCUAGGGGGCCAUCCCGGCUUACCAACCCGAUGCAAACUGCGAAUACCGGAGAAUGUUAUCACGGGAGACACACGGCGGGUGCUAACGUCCGUCGUGAAGAGGGAAACAACCCAGACCGCCAGCUAAGGUCCCAAAGUCAUGGUUAAGUGGGAAACGAUGUGGGAAGGCCCAGACAGCCAGGAUGUUGGCUUAGAAGCAGCCAUCAUUUAAAGAAAGCGUAAUAGCUCACUGGUCGAGUCGGCCUGCGCGGAAGAUGUAACGGGGCUAAACCAUGCACCGAAGCUGCGGCAGCGACACUGUGUGUUGUUGGGUAGGGGAGCGUUCUGUAAGCCUGCGAAGGUGGCCUGUGAGGGUUGCUGGAGGUAUCAGAAGUGCGAAUGCUGACAUAAGUAACGAUAAAGCGGGUGAAAAGCCCGCUCGCCGGAAGACCAAGGGUUCCUGUCCAACGUUAAUCGGGGCAGGGUGAGUCGACCCCUAAGGCGAGGCCGAAAGGCGUAGUCGAUGGGAAACGGGUUAAUAUUCCCGUACUUGGUGUUACUGCGAAGGGGGGACGGAGAAGGCUAUGUUGGCCGGGCGACGGUUGUCCCGGUUUAAGCGUGUAGGUGUGUGUUCCAGGUAAAUCCGGUUCACUUUAACACUGAGGCGUGACGACGAGGCACUACGGUGCUGAAGCAACAAAUGCCCUGCUUCCAGGAAAAGCCUCUAAGCAUCAGGUAACAUCAAAUCGUACCCCAAACCGACACAGGUGGUCAGGUAGAGAAUACCAAGGCGCUUGAGAGAACUCGGGUGAAGGAACUAGGCAAAAUGGUGCCGUAACUUCGGGAGAAGGCACGCUGACACGUAGGUGAAGUGAUUUACUCAUGGAGCUGAAGUCAGUCGAAGAUACCAGCUGGCUGCAACUGUUUAUUAAAAACACAGCACUGUGCAAACACGAAAGUGGACGUAUACGGUGUGACGCCUGCCCGGUGCCGGAAGGUUAAUUGAUGGGGUCAGCGCAAGCGAAGCUCCUGAUCGAAGCCCCGGUAAACGGCGGCCGUAACUAUAACGGUCCUAAGGUAGCGAAAUUCCUUGUCGGGUAAGUUCCGACCUGCACGAAUGGCGUAAUGAUGGCCAGGCUGUCUCCACCCGAGACUCAGUGAAAUUGAACUCGCUGUGAAGAUGCAGUGUACCCGCGGCAAGACGGAAAGACCCCGUGAACCUUUACUAUAGCUUGACACUGAACAUUGAGCCUUGAUGUGUAGGAUAGGUGGGAGGCUUUGAAGUGUGGACGCCAGUCUGCAUGGAGCCGACCUUGAAAUACCACCCUUUAAUGUUUGAUGUUCUAACGUGGACCCGUUACCCGGGUUGCGGACAGUGUCUGGUGGGUAGUUUGACUGGGGCGGUCUCCUCCUAAAGAGUAACGGAGGAGCACGAAGGUUGGCUAAUCCUGGUCGGACAUCAGGAGGUUAGUGCAAUGGCAUAAGCCAGCUUGACUGCGAGCGUGACGGCGCGAGCAGGUGCGAAAGCAGGUCAUAGUGAUCCGGUGGUUCUGAAUGGAAGGGCCAUCGCUCAACGGAUAAAAGGUACUCCGGGGAUAACAGGCUGAUACCGCCCAAGAGUUCAUAUCGACGGCGGUGUUUGGCACCUCGAUGUCGGCUCAUCACAUCCUGGGGCUGAAGUAGGUCCCAAGGGUAUGGCUGUUCGCCAUUUAAAGUGGUACGCGAGCUGGGUUUAGAACGUCGUGAGACAGUUCGGUCCCUAUCUGCCGUGGGCGCUGGAGAACUGAGGGGGGCUGCUCCUAGUACGAGAGGACCGGAGUGGACGCAUCACUGGUGUUCGGGUUGUCAUGCCAAUGGCACUGCCCGGUAGCUAAAUGCGGAAGAGAUAAGUGCUGAAAGCAUCUAAGCACGAAACUUGCCCCGAG